rnacentral:rRNA from 1 species
UACGUAGGGGGCUAGCGUUGUCCGGAAUCACUGGGCGUAAAGGGUACGCAGGCGGAAUUGUAGGUCAUAUGUAAAAGGCAGUGGCUUAACUACUGUAAGCUUUUGAAACUAGAUAUCUUGAGAAGAGUAGAGGUAAGUGGAAUUUCUAGUGUAGCGGUGAAAUGCGUAGACAUUAGGAAGAAUACCGGUGGCGAAGGCGACUUACUGGGCUCAAACUGACGCUGAGGAACGAAAGCGUGGGUAGCAAACAGG